GUGGGGAAUUUUGGACAAUGGGCGCAAGCCUGAUCCAGCAAUGCCGCGUGCAGGAAGAAGGCCUUCGGGUUGUAAACUGCUUUUGUACGGAACGAAACGGUUCUGGUUAAUACCCGGGGCUAAUGACGGUACCGUAAGAAUAAGCACCGGCUAACUACGUGCCAGCAGCCGCGGUAAUACGUAGGGUGCAAGCGUUAAUCGGAAUUACUGGGCGUAAAGCGUGCGCAGGCGGUUGUGUAAGACAGGCGUGAAAUCCACGGGCUCAACCUGGGAAUUGCGCUUGUGACUGCACGGCUGGAGUGCGGCAGAGGGGGAUGGAAUUCCGCGUGUAGCAGUGAAAUGCGGAGAUAUGCGGAGGAACACCGAUGGCGAAGGCAAUCCCCUGGGCCUGCACUGACGCUCAUGCACGAAAGCGUGGGGAGCAAACAGGAUUAGAAACCCGUGUAGUCC
rnacentral:rRNA from 1 species